AUUAACUUCAGAUAUCAGACAUCAUUCAUUUCCUUGUUUAUCAGUCCACACAGCCCCUCCAAAGCAGCCAGGACAGAACAGUCGAAUGAGCACUGAGCAAUAUCGACUAGCCAUGUAUCGUCACAGAGACUCUUGGAAGGGACAGCCGUCUUGUUUUGCCAGCCACUACCAGCAGUCGUUGCAGGUAUCUAGCCUAGAGAAGUCUUGUUAGCUGGUGCUGGGGACUUCUAGGGUGAAGAGUAAAAUGCGGCAUUCUAUCUUCCCUGGUCGUGUGGAUCAGGACAGUGUUUCCUGAGGGACAAGGCACCUAC